AGCAAGGAAAAAACUGGUAAUCAUGCCUUGUGUCUUGGAUUUUGUUUUGUUUUGUUUUUCUCCGAGGUGGGGUAAGAAUUCUGGGGGCAGAUGACUCCUUGAAGAGCUAGCAAAGAGUCCACCUCUGGUGCUGGAGGGCUGCCACAAACUCAGCCUCACAGCUGAACUAAACCUAAUCUGUCCCUCCUUGGCUAUUCUGAGACAUGGGUGGAGCGCCUCCUGGAGGCGACAUCCGGCAAGACUUUGGGAAAAGGCUUGGGGCCUUCCAAGGUGUAAGAGGGAGGUGCGCUUGCUCCUUGCCCCAGGCUGUCCUCCUGUAGGUGGAGUCUGCUAGGGAGUGCCUUGCCUGGAAGGGCAAAGGGCUCAGUCUGCUACCCUUAACCAACUGACAAGAGUCUCAGUCACCAGGCCUUGACUCUAAGAGCAUAGAAAGAACCUAGAAUCCCAAGUGGCAGGAGCGCUGGGGGACACCCGGGCAGAGCCUUCCUUGGAGCAAGUACUGCAGGAGAGGGAUGAAGCCAUUGCUAAGAAGCGAGCGGUGGAAGAGGAGCUGGACUCCUGUCGAGCCAGGUUGCGCACAGUGGAGGCUCAGCUGCUGGAGGUCCUGCAGGAGAAACUGAGGCUGAAACAGGAGGUGGAGGCCUGGGAGGUAGGGUGGGGCCUCUGACUUGGGAGUCUUGGAAGACACCCCUCUGUCCCUAGGGACUGCCUCGGACCUGGUCUCUCUCCUGUGCCCAGGAAGACAUGCAGCAUAUGGUUCGAGAGCGGGUGCGGAGUCAGCUGCAGGGAGAGUCCAGAGGCAUGCUGGGAGCACAGGAGAACACACGCGAGGGCAGGAGUUCCUGGAUCCAACUCUCCCGGGGUCAGUGGGGGCGACGGUGGUGAAAAUGGAUCCAGGUCUUUAAGAGAACUGUCUUUAUUCAUUAAAGUGUUGGGCCACCUCUGUACCCCUGGA